AAACAUGUAAAUAUAAAAAAUAUACAGGUAUAUAUAGAUUUGUCCAACCACAAAUUUUAUUUUUAACAAAUUUUAACAAAAAGUAAAGUAGGAAUUUGAUAAUUGUAACAUUUAAUCUCUGAAUAGGGAGUAAAUAUAAACUAGGUUAAAAAUUAACCUAAUAAUCUUUUUAACUUAGCUCAGAAUUCCAACCAAAAAACUGAUCUGUGAUCUAACCCACGUUUAAAGCCAAGCCCAGCCCACUCUCUUCAUUAAUUUAAAAAUAUUCACAAUUUUUCUUUUAUCAACCCGUCCCUGUUGCCCCUUUCCAUUCAAUUCUUUUCUACAUCUGUUUUUAGUGUUU
rnacentral:misc_RNA from 1 species